rnacentral:misc_RNA from 1 species
GUAGGUGAACCUGCGGAAGGAUCAUUAUCGAAUUAUAAGCGAGGGUUGUAGCUGGCCUCCCUUUCGAGGCAUGUGCACGCCUGAGCUCUUAAAUCCACAACACACCUGUGAACCCACCGUAGGCCUUCGGGCUUAUGUAUCAUAUACUCUGAAUGUGUCAUAGAAUGUUCAUGUUGCCUUAAAACGCAAUCAAAUACAACUUUCAACAACGGAUCUCUUGGCUCUC